AAGGCCUUCGGGUUGUAAAGCACUUUCAGUGGGGAGGAAAGCCUUUGGGUUAAUAACCCAGAGGGGUGACGUUACCUACAGAAGAAGCACCGGCUAACUCUGUGC
rnacentral:rRNA from 1 species